GAUUGAGAUAUUUGCUAGUUUAUACAGCUUAUAGAACUACAGAACUAAACUUAGAAACUUUAUUCUGAACUUUAUGAAAGCAAUGAAUUCAGUCCCACGUUGACAUCCUAUGGCACCCGAAGUAAUAGGACGUUUGACAGGCAGGUUUCAAUUAGCGUGACUGCACGUCUUGUAUCUUUUAAUAAGAAAUCCGCCGCUGCUGUGAGGGGAAAAAGCUUCAAUGUUCUCUGCUGCAUCUUAAUAAAAAUAUAUAUAAAAAAAGAGAAGAAGAACUGUGUUUCCACAGCAACUGGCACCUGAGUAACGGCGGAGACGUGCUUGAAAGCAUCAGGUUAGAAAAUGACAUCUUUGCAUCCUGACGUGUCCGCAUUGAUCCCGUGUCAUACCCAAUUACAGCGCGUGCUGUCGUACAGGCGCGUGCUAUUCAGCACAAGAGCGCCUCUUAAACGAACACACGCUGUCGCACUUCUUCUCAGAUGGCUCAGGAAGUGGUUUUAAUGAACACCUGCCCCAUCCCCCUUUCUUUACCACCUUUCCAUACACUUCUCGUGUUUAUCUUAGCGAAAAAACGCAGCGACGUCGAUUUCCGCUUUGAAUUCGGAUGCGUUGAGAGUGGCGGUAUGAUUGGCAGCAUUUAAAACUGAGAAAUCUCUCUGUAAUCUUUAAUUAUACAACGUAUUUAUCUUUCAUUAUGACAAGGAACUGAUCAAUACUCCCUCUAGAUCUGAUUCUUCAUCCUAGUUCAACACUUUGAGGGUUAUUUAUUCAUGUUUUAUGCCUGGUCUGAUAUUUAUAAUCACAGUUUGAGAGGAAUCAAUAUUUUCUUUUCUUCUGAGAGAAGACAAAAUAUAUACCAGAUUUUCUCCUGAGGUUUUAGUGCAAUCUUUCACUCUUAUGUUGACUGUCUUGUCCCACUGCUGCACUUGUUUCUAGGAGCAGUCUGUCAGCAUUUGAAGUGCUCUACAGAACAUGUUUGAUACACUCACAAACUCUGGCCUCACGUUAAGCGCUUACACGCCACGAGCGAUUCGACCUGACGGAAACAACCCAUGAAAUCUCAGAGUCUCCUCACCGGGGGAACACGGCCGACAAUAGACCCUAAUUAAAGCGUGCUGUGGGCUGACAGAGCCCAUUCUUCUCCACUGCGUCCCGUUUAAACUGGGCCUCCCUUCCUGUGCCAUCCACACCCACCUCACUCCACUAAUUUCAAGUGGAACCGUGAAGGCUUAAUGGAAGACCUCGGAUGACAGGAAGUCAACGCGACCUGAGUGGUGGUCAGAUUCCAUUGGAGGCCCGUGGCAUUCUGAAAC